rnacentral:rRNA from 1 species
AAGGCUUCAGCACGACCCAGUCAGAACUAUAAGUCUCAAAGCCCCGAUGAGUAGGGUGGCGUGCCGGUGCGCGUUGAAGGCCAAGACGUGAGUCAGGCUGGAGCCGCCGGUAGUGCAGAUCUUGGUGGUAGUAGCAAGUACUCUGGUGAACCAACCUGGAGCUGUGAGGUCUGGAUUAGGGUUCCAUGUCAACAGUGAUUGAACAUGGGUGAGUCGAACCUAAGCCAACUGUGAAAGCAGUGACAUCCCGACAAAGGGGCACAUACACCCCCAAACAAAGCUCUCGUAUUGCUCUCUCUCUCUCUCUCAAUUUGACGAUAAGAUACAUAUGACACGGCAUAUGAGCACACACACUUUCGAUGAUCACUUUUUAAAAAGUUUGUGAGGGAGUAAGUAGUGUGUUCAGAAAAUGGUCUGGUUACUAUGGUAUAAGAGCAAACACACAAUGAGCACUUUACUAUAAGUGAGUGUGUUUGCAUAUCUCUCUCUGGUUACGCUCAUGAGCGUUGGCGCAAAAAGUGGAUAAACGAUAUAUAUACAUUUGGCACAAAAGAGAGAGAGAGAAACGGAGUGGGUGAGCGUGAGUGCACCCUGCGUUGGUUCUAUGUCCGGCGAAAGGGAAUGGGGACUUUGUUCCUUGACCGGUCCUGGCACCCUCGAUUGGCUUUGCCAAUUAAUGGUCCAUGCAAAUGGAACCAGCCCACAGCCGUUGGCAGUCGCCCGAGGAAGAGUUUUCUUUUCUGCUUAACGCACGAGGUCAUCCCUGGAAACAGUUCGGCUGGCGAAAGGGUGCCCCGCUGCGGCAGAGCGCCACGACUGUCGUGCGCGUCUCGGUGUUCCUGCUGAUCCGUGAAGACGUGGUCGAGGGGAAUGCUCUUGUAUCAACGAAACGCCUGACAAGUUCGGGACGGACCGUACCCUAUAUCCGCAUCUGGUCUCCAAGGUUUCUAGCCUCUGCAGAGUCAGUCACAUGUAGGUAAGGGAAGUCGGCAAACUCGAUCCGUAACUUCGGGAAAAGGAUUGGCUCUGAGGGCCGAGCUGGGCCGGGCCUUGCCUGCAAAGCAGUACCUAUAGUGACCGGAGUUGCAGGAGUGCGAGGGGCUCUAGUAGCUGCUUGUGCGUUUUGUGCGUUCGCGCGUGCAUGCGUGUGGGCACGAACGAGUCCACCUCUCCGCUCCAACCACGAACGGCUGUGACGGCAAGGGCUCUGGGCGGGAG